GAUGAACGCUGGCGGCGUGCCUAACACAUGCAAGUCGAGCGGACGGACGCGACGCUUGCUGCUCUGAUGUUAGCGGAAGACGGGAGAGUAACACGUGUAACCUCUACCUAUAAGUCGGGGAUCACCUGGGGACACCGGCGCUUAUCCCGUAGAAGAUCUUGCACCGCAUGGGUCGAUAGUGAGAGUCGGUCUUGCGGUAUCUAAUAGAUGGAUCCGCGCUGCAUGAGCUAGUAGUGAAGGUCACGGCUUAUGACGGCUACGAUGCAUAGCCGACGUGCGAGAGUGAUCGGCCACCUGAGAACUGGGACACGGUCAAGACUCCUACGGGAGGCAGCAGUAGGGAAUCUGCCGCAGUGGGCGAGAGCCUGGCGGAGCAACGCCGCGUGAGUGAUGGAGGUCUUCGGAUCGUAAUACUGUGUUAUGAGGGGAGAACAUAUGUGUAAGUUACUGUGGACAGCGUGACGGUACCUGGUAAAGAAGCCACGGCUAACUACGUG
rnacentral:rRNA from 1 species